ACCGUGGGUGUGUCGGCGGCCCCGCCCCGCAGCCACGUGCUCUCUGGAUGUCCAAAACAUUUGGUGGCGCUGAAGCGGAACUGUCUCUUCUGCGCCACUGCGGCAGUCGCAUGUUGAUGCUGAACCCAGUGGUGGUGAUGUGACGUAUAGUGAACUUGUAAUAAAACCACAGAAAAAAUCUAUGAGAAUAAAAGAAAAAGCCAGUGUUGGUGCUGAUACUGUAUACUCAGAGCUGAAGCUGAACACCAAGACUUCACUGGACUGAACUCAUCCAUGUGGACAUCCGAUCUGCUCAUGGGCAAGUGUGGCUGGACUAAAGCUGGGGACCGUUUUGAUCAAAGUGGUGGAAGAGGAUGACACCACUUCAGUCCACAGCAGUGAAAAGAAAUGUUUGCCAGAUUCAGUAAUAUACUUGUGCAAACUGAAAGAGUAAAUUAGAUACUUAAAAAUUAAAUACACAGGGCUACAGAUUUCACGCUGUGGUUUGGAUGAUCUAGUAGACACCUUAUGAAGUCCUAUGAUGUAUAGCGCACAUUACAAUGGUUGCACAAUUGCUUGUUUUUUUGCUACAAAUUGCUUAUUUAAUUUAGUUAUGCAUUUACACAUUCCAGCUUUUGAGAAAUUGUUCAUUAUAAGUUUUACUCUCACAUUUUUACAUUAGAUUAUUUACAUUACUAUCGUGUACCAUGUGUCCUUUUUAACGUUGUUGUAUGUUUCAACUUAUACAGUACAUUAAUUAAACUCAUUUAACCAGUCACUCAUGUCACAGGUUUAACGGUUGUUUUUUGCAUACAGUCUGUAAAAUGAACUGAAAAUAUAAAAUUUAGUUUAUCAGAAGGUAAAUUAAUGUGUCCUGACUCACACUAUGUUCCUAAAUUCUGUCACAAUUGACCAGCUCAAGUUUUCUCAUGCCUACUUGUGUGUUAUAUUGUGUCACAUUAAUGUUACAAUCACUAAAAA
ensembl:lncRNA